rnacentral:rRNA from 1 species
UACGUAGGGGGCAAGCGUUGUCCGGAAUCAUUGGGCGUAAAGCGCGUGUAGGCGGGUCGGUAAGUCCGCUCUGAAAGCCCGGGGCUCAACCCCCGGGAGGCGGGUGGAUACUGUCGACCUCGAGUCCGGAAGAGGCGAGUGGAAUUCCUGGUGUAGCGGUGAAAUGCGCAGAUAUCAGGAGGAACACCAAUGGCGAAGGCGGCUCGCUGGGACGGUACUGACGCUGAGACGCGAAAGCGUGGGGAGCAAACAGG